rnacentral:tRNA from 1 species
GCAGUGAUGGUUCAGUGGUAGAAAUCUCACUUUCCAUGCAGGAGACCCAGGUUUGAUUCCUGGCCAAUGCA